UACAGAGGUGCCGAGCGUUAGGCGGAAUCACUGGGCUUAAAGCGCGUGUAGGUGGAUCGUUACGUGUCUUGUGAAAUCCCACGGCUCAACCGUGGAACUGCUGGGCAUACUGACGAUCUUGAGGCACUCAGGGGCUGUCGGAACAAAUGGUGGAGCGGUGAAAUGCGUAGAUAUCAUUUGGAACGCCAAUGGUGAAAACAGACAGCUGGGGGUGUCCUGACACUGAGACGCGAAAGCCAGGGGAGCAAACGGG
rnacentral:rRNA from 1 species